AUUGAACGCUGGCGGCAGGCCUAACACAUGCAAGUCGAACGAGUGGCGGACGGGUGAGUAAUGUCUGGGAAACUGCCUGAUGGAGGGGGAUAACUACUGGAAACGGUAGCUAAUACCGCAUACCAUCAGAUGUGCCCAGAUGGGAUUAGCUAGUAGGUGGGGUAAAGGCUCACCUAGGCGACGAUCCCUAGCUGGUCUGAGAGGAUGACCAGCCACACGGGAACUGAGACACGGUCCAGACUCCUACGGGAGGCAGCAGUGGGGAAUAUUGCACAAUGGGCGAAAGCCUGAUGCAGCCACGCCGCGUGGAUGAAGAAGGCCUUCGGGUCGUAAAGGACUUUUAGCAGGGAGGCGUUACCCGAAGAAGAAGCCACGGCUAACUCCGUGCCAGCAGCCGCGGUAAUGC
rnacentral:rRNA from 1 species